rnacentral:lncRNA from 10 species
GAGAGAGAGCAGCAUGAGCUAGGGUGGAGUGUGAGAACACCUGUGACAUCAGGGCAACUGCUAGUAGAUUAGUAUGACUGAAUAAACGGUGAUGGAGAAAGAGAUGAGACAGUGUAAGAUCAUAAGUAUUGGGCCUUCUCUGAGAGAUCCUGAGGAAUGGUCGAAAGAAGGUAUCAACAGAGACUUUCCUGAAACCAUCAUUUUAUACUGACUCCCCACGGGCAUAGAAAUGUUGCCAAUUAAGAAAAAGAAGAAAAAUUUAACUUCAGGAAAAGCAGAAAAUUGUGUAAGAAAGGAAAAAUAGCUACAAUUGUCUACAUGGUGGUGUUGUAAAUGGCAUUUUCAUAGUCAUAGUAACAUAAACAUUAAAUAAUAACCUAAUAUGCAGUGAUGUUUAAAAUAUUGAGGCUGGGUGUGGUGGCUCAUGCCUGUAAUUCCAGCACUUUGCGAGGCCAAGGUGGGCUGAUCACUUGGGGACAGGAGUCCGAGACCAGCCUGGCCAACAUGGUGAAACCCUGUCUCUACUAAAAAUACAAAAAUUAGCCGAGCAUGGUGGUGCACGCCUGUAGUCCCAGCUACUCGGGGGACUGAGGCAGGAGAAUCCCUUGAACCCGGGAGGCGGAGGUUGCAGUGAGUUGAGAUUUCACCGCUAUGAGUUGAGAUUUCACCGCUGCACUCCAGCCUGAGCAACAGAGUGAGACUCUGUCUCAAAAGAAAAAAAAAAAGAAAAAGAAAAAAAAAAGAAAAGGAAAGGAAACAAAAAAGAAAAGAAGAGAGGAGAAAAGAAAAAAGAAAAGAAGAGAAAAGAAAAGAAAACGCAAGCACAUAACAACAGCAGGGGGAGCUGUCAGACUGCCACGCGGAACUGACAAACUCCCCAGCACGGUGCGGAGUUCUGGAGCAAAGAUUAAAGGAAUUUCACACUGGAAGGGACUGGGCAGGCCAUUGUUCCACCACCUAGCUCAGACUUUUGGAAAAGAGAAGGACCUUUGUUUGAAUAUCUCGCUGGAGGCUAUCAACUCACCACUUCUGGGAGCUGGGCAGCCAGUCCUUUCUUCCUUCCUUUUAAAAAAUUGAUAUAUAAUAAUUGUACAUAUUUAUGUGGUACAUGUGAUAUUUUGAUGUAUGUAUGAACUACGGAAUGAUCAAAUUAAGGUGGUAAUUAAGAUAUCCACCACCUUAAACGUGUAUCACUCCUUUGUGUCGGAAACAUUCCAAAUCUUCCAGCUAUUUCACAAUAUACAAUAAAUUAUUGUUAACUAUUGUCACCCUUCCAUGCUAUCAAACCUAUAACUUAUUCCUUCUAACUGUAUUUUUAUACGCAUUGACCUACCUCUCCUCAUCCCCCACACCUGACAUUUCUCAAAAGAAGACAUACAAAUGGCCAACAGGUAGAUUAAAAAUACUCAACAUCACUAAUCAGGAAAAUGCAAAUCAAAACCACAAUUAGAUAUCAUCUCACCCCAGUUGAAAUGGCUAUCAUCAAACAGACAAAAAAAUAACAUAUGCUGGGGAGGAUGUGGAGGAAGGGGAUGCUGGUACACUGUUGGUGGAAAUAAAAACUAGUGAAUCUUUUCUUGAAGGGAGACUUGAAGUGUGUCUCUUAGUAUUAGCCAAGAUAUUUUUUUUCUGUUAAAUUUACAGCCACAGUGCACAUGUAUUCAUGUACUGUUUGCUGUUUAUUUUCCAUUUACCUACUUCAACAUUUAUGGUCAU